rnacentral:rRNA from 1 species
ACGGAGAGAUGCAUCGUCAUUCCUCGGCGCGCGUGCGCGGGUGCGCGAUGUCUUCGGUUCAGGCCGAGGGCACCGCUCGCGUACGUUAUCCGCGUCCGGGGACGGCGUGCACUUCUCUCUCAGUAAUACAUCGCGACCCGUUCGACGUCGGUCUAAGUGCGUCGCUCGCGGGAGCCUUCGCGCCGGGGGCGUCAAAACCUCCGGUGCGGAGACCGCAAGGCGUAUAUACCGACCGGCUGUCGGACGGUAGAUCUAAAGAAACGCUCACGCGCUUUCGUCGCGCGUCCGGCCCGACGCAAGGCAACGUCGUAUAUUCCUGCGUCCUGCCCGAGUGCGGACGCGGGUGCGGCGCGCCUGUUGUCGCAGCCGUGCUGUCUCGGACCGUGAGCGUAUCGGUCUGCGAUGAUUCGGUUUCGGGCACUCGCAGGACCCGUCUUGA